rnacentral:rRNA from 1 species
GACGUAGGGGACGAGCGUUGUCCGGAAUUAUUGGGCGUAAAGAGCUCGUAGGCGGCCUGUCGCGUCGGAUGUGAAAGCCCGGGGCUUAACCCCGGGUCUGCAUUCGAUACGGGCAGGCUAGAGUGUGGUAGGGGAGAUCGGAAUUCCCGGUGUAGUGGUGAAAUGCGUAGAUAUCGGGAGGAACACCAGUGGCGAAGGCGACUUCCUGGCCUGUUCUUGACGCUGAGGCGCGAAAGCUAGGGUAGCAAACGGG